ACUCUCGCUGUUAUACUCAGCAGGAAGCAGACUCUGGGAUGAAGGAUUACAAGCUGAUGGCUUAUUGCCAGUGGAUUCUCACGGUCAACACAGAGCAGAGAGGGUAAGAAAUGUGCCCAAAGCUACUCAGCCAGCAACAGACAGUUGGAUGUAGAAGUUUCUUUGUGAAGGGAUUACCUAGGAAUGCUUACAUGGAAGAUGCACUUCAGGAGUAUUAUUUAUCCACUGCUAAUGUGGAUAAACAAGCCAGAAGGUAUCAAGCUUCUAGAAGACAAGACACUUUGUGAACUUGGCUGUCCAACCCUA